rnacentral:rRNA from 1 species
UGAGGAAUAUUGGUCAAUGGUCGCAAGACUGAACCAGCCAUGCCGCGUGCAGGAAGACGGUCCUAUGGAUUGUAAACUGCUUUUAUACAGGAAGAAACCCUCCCACGUGUGGGAGCUUGACGGUACUGUAGGAAUAAGGAUCGGCUAACUCCGUG